CCUACGGGUGGCAGCAGUGAGGAAUAUUGGUCAAUGGUCUGGAGACUGAACCAGCCAAGCCGCGUGAGGGAUGAAGGUACAGAGUAUCGUAAACCUCUUUUGUCAGGGAACAAAGGCGGGGACGUGUCCCCGGAUGAGUGUACCUGAAGAAAAAGCAUCGGCUAACUCCGUGCCAGCAGCCGCGGUAAUACGGAGGAUGCGAGCGUUAUCCGGAUUUAUUGGGUUUAUGGGGUGCGCAGGCGGUCUGUAAAGUUAGGGUGCAAAGCCCGGGGCUAAACCCCGGCCCGCAGUUGAAACUGGCAGUCUCGAGUUGGAGAGAGGUAUGCGGAAUGCGCGGUGUAGCGGUGAAAUGCAUAGAUAUCGCGAAGAACUCCGAUGGCGAAGGCAGCAUGCCGGCUCCACACUGACGCUGAGGCACGAAAGCGUGGGUAUCGAACAGGAUUAGAUACCCUAGUAGUC
rnacentral:rRNA from 1 species